GAUGAACGCUCGCGCCAGGCCUAACACAUGCAAGUCGAGGGAGAAGCCUUUCGGGGCAGACACCGGCGCACGGGUGCGUAACGCGUAUGCAACCUACCUUUCACAGGGGGAUAGCCCGAAGAAAUUUGGAUUAAUACCCCAUAAUAUUGUUGGAUGGCAUCAUCUGAUAAUUAAAACUGCGGUGGUGAAAGAUGGGCAUGCGUCCUAUUAGCUAGUUGGAGUGGUAACGGCACCCCAAGGCUACGAUAGGUAGGGGUCCUGAGAGGGAGAUCCCCCACACUGGUACUGAGACAGGGACCAGACUCCUACGGGAGGCAGCAGUGAGGAAUAUGAGGCAAUGGUCGGAAGACUGAACCAGCCAUGCCGCGUGCAGGAAGAAUGCCUUAUGGGUUGUAAACUGCUUUUAUAUGGGAAGAAUAAGGUGUACGUGUACAUUGAUGACGGUACCAUAUGAAUAAGCAGCGGCUAACUCCGUG
rnacentral:rRNA from 1 species